rnacentral:rRNA from 1 species
AUAUUGGACAAUGGGCGAAAGCCUGAUCCAGCCAUCCCGCGUGUGGGAAGAAGGUCUUCGGAUUGUAAAGCACCUUACGUUGGGAGGAAGGGAAGUAAGUUAAUACCUUGCUGUUUUGACGUUACCGACAGAAUAAACACCGGGUAACUUCGUGCGCGCAGCCGCGGUAAUACGAAGGGUGCAAGCGUUAAUCGGAAUUACUGGGGGUAAAACGCGCGUAGGUGGUUUGUUAAGUUGGAAGUGAAAGCCCCGGGCUCAACCUGGGAACUGCUUUCAUAACUGCUGAGCUAGAGUACGGUAGAGGGUAGUGGAAUUUCCUGUGUAGCGGUGAAAUGCGUAGAUAUAGGAAGGAACACCAGUGGCGAAGGCGACUACCUGGACUGAUACUGACACUGAGGUGCGAAAGCGUGGGGAGCAAAC